rnacentral:rRNA from 1 species
AAUCAAAUCUACAGAGGUUACAGAUGGGCAUGCGUGACAUUAGUUAGAUGGUGAGGUAACGGCUCACCAUGACAUCGAUGGCUAGGGGUUCUGCAAGGAAGAUCCCCCACACUGGUACUGAGACACGGACCAGACUCCUACGGGAGGCAGCAGUGAGGAAUAUUGGUCAAUGGAGGCAACUCUGAGCCAGCCAAGCCGCGUGAAGGAAGACUGUUCUAUGAAUUGUAAACUUCUUUUGUGGUAGAGUAAAUAUAGCUACGUGUAGUUAUUUGCAAGUAUACCAUGAAUAAGCAUCGGCUAACUCCGUGCCAGCAGCCGCGGUAAUACGGAGGAUGCAGGCGUUAUCCGGAUUUAUUAGGUUUAAAGGGUGUCUAGGCUGCCACAUAAGUCAGGGGUGAAAGUCGGUUGCUCAACAAUCGAAUUGCCUUUGAAACUGUGUGGCUCGAGUAUAGAUGAGGUAGGCGGAAUGUGUAGUGUAGCGGUGAAAUGCAUAGAUAUUACACAGAACCCCAAUUGCGAAGGCAGCUUACCAAACUAUUACUGACGCUGAAGCACGAAAGCGUGGGUAGCGAACAGGAUUAGAUACCCUGGUAGUCCACGCCGUAAACUAUGCUCACUCGCUGUUGGCAAUAGAUCGUCAGCGGCUAAGGGAAACCGAUAAGUGAGCCACCUGGGGAGUACGAUCGCAAGAUUGAAACUCAAAGGAAUUGACGGGGGCCCGCACAAGCGGAGGAACAUGUGGUUUAAUUCGAUGAUACGCGAGGAACCUUACCUGGGCUUAAAUGUAGAGUGCAUAAAGUGGAAACAUUUUUUUCCUUCGGGACUCUUUACAAGGUGCUGCAUGGUUGUCGUCAGCUCGUGCCGUGAGGUGUCGGGUUAAGUCCCAUAACGAGCGCAACCCCUAUCGUUAGUUACCAGCACGUAUUGGUGGGGACUCUAGCGAAACUGCCGGUGUAAACCGUGAGGAAGGUGGGGAUGACGUCAAAUCAGCACGGCCCUUAUGUCCAGGGCUACACACGUGUUACAAUGGUCGGUACAGUGGGCAGCCACAUAG